rnacentral:sRNA from 1 species
GCCCCUCGCUCCUGCAGAUAAUGCUCAGAGACGCUGGGGCGCCCACCCUGGCAAACUAACGAAGCAGCUCCCUUCCCACCCCAACUGCAGGUCUAAUUUUGGACGCUUUGCCUGCCACUUCUUCCAGGUUGAGGGAGCCGCAGAGGCGGAGGCUUGCGUAUUCUUGCAGUCAGCGCCCACGUCGCCCCCGGACGCGCGGUGCUCAGGCCCUUCGCGAGCGGGGCUCUCCGUCUGCGGACCCUUGUGAAGGCUCUGGGCGGCUGCAGAGGCCGGCCGUCCGGUUUGGCUCACCUCUCCCAGGAAACUACACUGGAGAGCCAAAAGGAGUGGAAGAGCCUGUCUUGGAGAUUUUCCUGGGGAAAUCCUGAGGUCAUUCAUUAUGAAGUGUACCGCGCGGGAGUGGCUCAGAGUAACCACAGUGCUGUUCAUGGCUAGAGCAAUUCCAGCCAUGGUGGUUCCCAAUGCCACUUUAUUGGAGAAACUUUUGGAAAAAUACAUGGAUGAGGAUGACAUGGGAUGUAGAGCUGGAAAGAUCUGCAGAAUCCUGGGCUGAAAGUUGCUUGUGGGAACAUGGACCUGCAAGCUUGCUUCCAUCAAUUGGACAGAAUUUGGGAGCACACUGGGGAA